UUAAUCUCAAUUCCCUUAGGGGUUUUGGAUUUGGGGGUUUUGUGCAGGUUCUCCUUAUAGGGAAUCAGCUCCUCUUAAAAAUAUUAGCUGGAGGGAUGAAGCAAAAUUGGCCUUAGCAUUGUUCCAUUAGCUUAUGAUGUAAUAAUUGUUUCAUCAUGGUAUCAUAUGGGUGAUCCAAUGCCCCAAUAGAGGGAAUAAAUAACCUCAGGGAGGCUUUUUGGUGGCAUUCUCUGCUUCUAAUUUGUUAGAUCUAUCUAACAAUUCAUGUAUUUU
rnacentral:misc_RNA from 1 species